rnacentral:rRNA from 1 species
UGAACGCUAGCGACAGGCUAACACAUGCAAGUCGAGGGGCAGCACGGGAGUAGCAAUACAACUGGUGGCGACCGGCGCACGGGUGAGUAACGCGUAUGCAACCUACCUAUCAGAGGGGAAUAACCCGGCGAAAGUCGGACUAAUACCGCAUAAAACAGGGGCACCGCAUGGUGAUAUUUGUUAAAGAAAUUCGCUGAUAGAUGGGCAUGCGUUCCAUUAGGUAGUUGGUGAGGUAACGGCUCACCAAGCCGACGAUGGAUAGGGGAACUGAGAGGUUGGUCCCCCACACUGGUACUGAGACACGGACCAGACUCCUACGGGAGGCAGCAGUGAGGAAUAUUGGUCAAUGGGCGAGAGCCUGAACCAGCCAAGUCGCGUGAAGGAAGAAGGAUCUAUGGUUCGUAAACUUCUUUUGCAGGGGAAUAAAGUGCGGGACGUGUCCUGUUUUGUAUGUACCCUGAGAAUAAGGAUCGGCUAACUCCGUGCCAGCCGCUGC